UAGGGAAUCUUCGGCAAUGGACGAAAGUCUGACCGAGCAACGCCGCGUGAGUGAAGAAGGUUUUCGAAUCGUAAAACUCUGUUGGUAGAGAAGAACGUUGGUGAGAGUGGAAAGCUCAUCAAGUGACGGUAACUACCCAGAAAGGGACAGCUAACUACGUGCCAG
rnacentral:rRNA from 1 species